CCUACGGGAGGCAGCAGUGGGGGAUAUUGCACAAUGGGGGAAACCCUGAUGCAGCGACGCCGCGUGGGUGAAGAAGCGCCUCGGCGCGUAAAGCCCUGUCAGCAGGGAAGAAAAUGACGGUACCUGAAGAAGAAGCCCCGGCUAACUACGUGCCAGCAGCCGCGGUAAUACGUAGGGGGCAAGCGUUAUCCGGAUUUACUGGGUGUAAAGGGGGCGCAGGCGGCGAUGCAAGCCAGGAGUGAAAGCCCGGGGCCCAACCCCGGGACUGCUCUUGAAACUGCGUGGCUAGAGUGCAGGAGGGGCAGGCGGAAUGCCUGGUGUAGCGGUGAAAUGCGUAGAUAUCAGGAGGAACACCGGUGGCGAAGGCGGCCUGCUGGACUGCAACUGACGUUGAGGCCCGAAAGCGUGGGGAGCAAACAGGAUUAGAUACCCGAGUAGUC
rnacentral:rRNA from 1 species